CUGAAGGAGCGUUGUUUGGCUCCUUGCUUAAGGAUAGAGGCAGGUGAGGAAUAAGCUGAUCAUGUAUUAAUGGAGUACUUUGGGAUUGCUUUCACAGGCGCCCUGGAAAGGCUGUUGCAGAUGGGGCUAAGAACAAUUUUUUAAAAGAUGAAAAAAUCCUCUUGAUGGACAUUUGACAUGAAGAGAGCAGAAGAGUGA
rnacentral:lncRNA from 1 species